UUGGAGGGCAAGUCUGGUGCCAGCAGCCGCGGUAAUUCCAGCUCCAAUAGCGUAUAUUAAAGUUGUUGCAGUUAAAAAGCUCGUAGUUGAAUUUCGGGAUCAGAGUGUCGGUCGUGCCUCGGUACGUACUGGUAUUAUUGGUUCCUACCUUCUGAAGAACCGCGAUGUCAUUAAUUUGGUGUCGUGGGGAAUCAGGACUGUUACUUUGAAAAAAUUAGAGUGUUUAAAGCAGGCUUACGCUUGAAUACAUUAGCAUGGAAUAAUGAAAUAGGACGUUUGAUUCUAUUUUGUUGGUUUCUAGGAUUGACGUAAUGAUUAAUAGGGAUAGUUGGGGGCAUUAGUAUUCAAUUGUCAGAGGUGAAAUUCUUGGAUUUAUUGAAGACUAACUACUGCGAAAGCAUUUGCCAAGGAUGUUUUCAUUAAUCAAGAACGAAAGUUAGGGGAUCGAAGACGAUCAGAUCCCGUCGUAGUCUUAACCAUAAACUAUGCCGACUAGGGAUCGGAUGAUGUUAAUUUAUAAAUGACUCAUUCGCGCCUUACGGAAAC
rnacentral:rRNA from 1 species